rnacentral:misc_RNA from 1 species
AACCAUAGAAACCUGCGGAGUACCUGCGGAAGGAUCAUUACGAGAGUGUCACCACUCCCAACCCAUUGUUUACCUACCCGUCCACCGUGCUUCGGCAGGCAGCCCUGUGGGACAGAGCCUCGCCCCCUUUCGCGGGGGGUGCCUGCCGCUUGCCAACCAAAACUCUAGCUGUUUUAGUACCAUCUGAGUCUUCCACAAAUGAACAAAACUUUCAACAACGGAUCUCAGAUCGGAAGAGCA